UCAUGAAUAUUCAUACACACAAAUGACAACUUCAAAAUGUGAGAAAGAAAUCUGGCUGAUCAAGUUUCAAUCCAUAUUCUACUAUUCAAAACCAGUUCUAAAGCAGAGAGUAUAGGAACUGAUUGCAAUUCUUAGUGAUAAACACUACCAAGUAUUCCUAGUUCUUACUCAACUAGACCAACACACAACAGUGCCAUCGCAGAAUGGACUACAUUUCAACUCAUACACACUAUGGAGGGAUCAUGUUCUGCACAUCCUCAUUCAGCACACAGCUUCUGAUCCAAGCGCAGGAAACUUGGCGCUGCGUCAGCAAGAGGUAGACAGGAAACGAAGAAGCAUCCAAUGCACCACAGCAUACCUACGCAAUCCAAUUUCCCUUCCCUCUCACCACAUAUCACAUGGGAAAAACCAGUACCUUCAAACUUUAGUGAAAAUACUGAAACAAAAGCAGCCAACAUUAGCUACACGAUACCCCAACAAGUCAGCCAAGCAUUUUAGAAGCCUCAUAUUUUCUAAGCCACAGUAAUUUUGGAGUUAAUUUAUAAACAACGAUUAACUAAAGACUGACUGCUAAUAAUAAACAGAACUGCAACACUUCAAGGUAUUCAACUGACAUAUGUCAAGACCUGUUUGUCAACUGUCAAAAAUAUUAACCCAAUCAUUCCAAAUAUCAUCAUUUAGUAUUCCAGAAAUUUCCUUCAGAAUAAUUCCUAAGUUUUCAGUAAUCUGUGAUCUUAGUUCCUGGUUCACCUCGAUAUUAAUGCCUGCUGAAUGAUACAAGAUACUGCCUUCAUGUUCCACUAUUCUCGAGACAUGGCCAAUGUCUGGCUUUAAACUGGACGAUACCAGUGGAGACAAUGCACCUUGCCCCAUGACAGGGAUUCAUCUUGAAACGUUCCAGUAAUAUCAUCAUCAUCACUUAAUGUACACGCGCGUGUGCGCUUUUCUACUCAAUCCAUUACAAAAGGUGCACCUUGUGUUUUCUGUGAUCUUUUGCAGUGACCAAGUACCAACACACGUGCAAAAAAAAUGCCCAACUACUACCCUCAGGUAUGAAGAAACAUCUAGUGAUAUAGUGCCCAAUCAUAACAUGAAUUUCUCAGAUUCUGUAAUAAGAUAAUAACCAUGUGACACUGCUAAUAUUAAAGUGAAUUAAUCUCCAAAUUUUAAAUAACUGUAAUUACCUACAGACACCAUACCAUAAAAAAGUUACCCCAACAUGAGGACUUUCCAGCAACUUGCCACAAAAUGACCUCCAGUAAAAAAUCUCAAAAAAAAAAAAGAGCUCUGCUCUCCCUCAACGUCUCACGGUUAUAGAAUGGCAUUCUCUACAAUGCACAAGUUUCGUAUCUCUUGCAGAAUAGCAGAACUGAAAAUAGGCAAUAUGCAGGCAAAAUAUUGAGUAUUAUCAUCCAAGUACAGACACCUCGUUUCAUGCCUUAAUCAUCGAAACCACUUCCCCUGACUUUUGCCCCUUCCAAAUACAACAAUACUGCCCUCCCUAAAACAAUCGGUAUAAAAGGUCAGGAAAUACACAGAGCUGGGGAGAUACCUGCACAUCAUAACAUUCCCAAACUACAGACAGAAAGUUCUGUGUCAUACAUAAUGACUUACAAGUGCUGGCAAUUCUUACGGCUCUAAGACAUUAAGAGAAGUUUCUCUAAUGAACCUCGUGUAGAAACAGAUGGCUUCCAGUAGGCGAACAACUUCCAGCAUCCAGAGUCUGAUCACAGAACGCACAACAUCCCUUAUCAGCAAAUGCCACAGAUCUUCGAGUAGGAUAGAAAAGGUCACAAAUCUUCACCGUGGACUGCUGCAUACGCCACCACUGCUGAGCUCUAAGAGUAUAAGACAAAACUUUCCUUCCACACAAACAAGCACUUUGAGAACGUAACAAAACAAAAUAUAAAAACAAUUAUCUUUGAAGAAUCUUAAAAAUAUGGAGUUCAAGCGUGUCAAUGUGUGGAGAUAAAUAUACAGUUCAAAACAAGUAGACAAAUGCCCCUGUGACGUGGAACAGAAUUUCAGAAAAAUCCCAUCAAGGACUCCAGAAUGCAGGAAAGUUGUCCUUGUGCUUGCUUAAGCACCACACCAAGUGUAAGGGCAGUAGUCAGCUUCAUGCAGCAGCCACGUCAAUGUAUACAUUCCAGAGUGUUACAGCUCACAGAGCACAUGCAGACCUCACCAUGAUUAUAAACAUGCCAUUAUUUUCCAUACACAUGACUAAGGCCCUUUAUUAAAAACACGACAGCUUUCAAAUAGGAGUACUUACUCUUCUCCAGCUGCUUUACUCCAGACUGCGUCGUCAGGUCCCAUGCAGUACCAACCGACUCAACACUGGCCACCUGUGUCCUAACUAGAAGACAUGCUGAGCAACAGAAAAAGUCAGAGAGACCCUGCCUUUUCAACAUGAGCAAUUGUGAUUAGGAAUCUCACAAAUCACAAUAACACCACUUCUAAAACUUACAUUUAAAACAGGUACAAUAACACACGCAAAAAGCCGCAUCCCAGGAACACACUUCAAUUUACCUCUUGUACAAGCGUAAUCUUGCUGUCAGGCCUUUCCUCACAAAUUCACAGGAGAAAUGUUCAAUACAUAUAUUUCUAACAAUGCAGUCCUCUACUGCCUUCAGAAUGCAGACUUACACUUGAAAUACGACAAACACAGCACCACUGAUGAAGUGAUACUGCGACUUGGCUGCUUGCUCAACACGUGUCAAAUGGCAUCAGUCACUUCCGCAGCAUAUUGAAAAUGACACCGCAGAUCUCCAAUACACUGCAUAUGGUGCCAAUAUUUCUCUUUCCAUUUUGCAGACCAAGAGCUCUUUUAUCUGUAGAUCUGCUACUCCAAAGCCUGUAGAAAACAAAAAUAAAACCUCCUUUUCCCAUCCCGACAACAGGUGUAAACCUGAUAACAGAAAUCAAAUGCAGUAUAUACAUUAAAACCACAAGUUCUCUAGAAUUACAACAAAACACUGAACCUUUCUCAAAGUUUUGAGCUGUAUUAAAACUGCAGUCUCCUGCUACUUGUCACUGUUCACUACUUCCCUGCACAGCGGUAGUUAAUCUAAAGCAACUUCUUCCAGCAACCAGGAGAAUGAAUUCCAGUAGUUUUGAUGCAAUUCACAGAGCACAACUUCCUGAAAAUGUUCAAUGCAGUAUGAACACACCACAAUUUGGGACCUUUAACACAAGGUUGGCAAAAAUUAUUUCUUAACUGCAACGGUCUUGCAUGUUAUAAAACAAAUCUGGGACACUCUGUCUCAAAACGGUGUGGGCCUUCAUGGCCUGUUACAGGGGAUAGCUUUACUUUUUUACUUUUACACUGACUGCACCCUACAGCUUCAGUCAGAUCUGAAGGAAAAAGGAAACCAAUAUCUCCAGCACUCUCCCAUCUCAACUAUGAAUCCAGAUUUCCACUAAAUCAACUGAUUAUUAUACCAGAAACAACCUAAAAAAGGCAGAUGGCCAAAAACCCAGAGGCACAAACUUUAGAACACCAUUAAGGUCAUACACCUAGAGCAGCCAAUGUCUCAUGCAUUAUUCAUACACACAAAUGACUAAACAUCACAAUGUGAGAAAAAUCUGGCUGAUCAAGUUUAAAACCACAUUCUACUAUUCAAAACCAGUUCUAAAGCAGAGAGUAUAGGAACUGAUCGCAAUUCUUAGUGAUGAACACUACAAAGUAUUUCUGUAUGCCAACGUUCUUAUUCAACUAGACCAACGCACAACAGUGCCAUCACAGAAUGGACUGCAUGAAGAUCCUGUAUUUCAACUCAUACACACUACGGAGGAAUCAUGUUCUGCUCAUCCUCAUUCAGCACACAGCUUCUGAUCCAAGGGCAGGAAACAUGGCGCUGCGUCAGCAAGAGGCAGACGGAACGAAGAAGCACACAAAUCUUCUUGAAGUGUUGUUGCGUCCAAUGCACCACAGCAUACCUACGCAGAAACCAAUUUUGCUUCCCCCCCACCACAUAACAUAUGGGAUAAACCAGUACCUACAAACUUUAGUGAAAAUACUGAAACAAAAGCAGCCAACAUUAGCUACAUGAUACCCCAACAAGUCAACCAAGCACUUUAGAAGCCUUGUAUUUUCUCAGCCACAGUAAUUUUGGAGUUAAUUUAUAAACAAUGAUUAACUAAACACUGAUUGUUAAUAAUAAAGAGAACUGCAACACUUCAAGUUA